rnacentral:ncRNA from 1 species
GACGGAAAAUUACCAAUGCCAGGACUUCAUUCCGAGGGCCCGUAAAUGGGACUGAGUACCCUUUAAAUGCUUUACAAAGGAUCAAAUUGGAGGGCAAGUCUGGUGCCAGCAGCCGCGGAUAAUUCCCAGCUCCAAUAGCGUAUAUUAAAAGUUGUUGCGGUUCAAAACGUUCGUAGUUGAAACUUGUGCUUCAUACGGGGUAGUACAACUUACAAUUGUGGGUUAGUGCUAUACCUUUAUGUAUGUAAGCGUAUCACCGGUGGAGUUCUUAUAUAUAAUUAAGUACUUGUAUUUUUUUAUAUAUUCCUCCUAUUUAAAAACCCUGCAUUAGUGCUCUUCAUCGAGUGUUAUUGUAGGGCCGGUACAAUUACUUUCAACAAAUUAGAGUGCUUAAAGCAGGCUUCAAUAGGCCUGAAUAUUCUGUGCAUGGGAUAAUGAAAUAAGACCUCUGUUCUGCUUUCAUUGGUUUUCAGAUCAAGAGGUAAUGAUUAAUAGAAGCAGUUUGGGGGCAUUAGUAUUACGACGCGAGAGGUGAAAUUCUUGGACCGUCGUAAGACUAACUUAAGUGAAAGCAUUUGCCAAAAAUGUUUUCAUUAAUCAAGAACGAAAGUUAGAGGUUCGAAGGCGAUCAAAAACCGCCCUAGUUCUAACCAUAAACGAUGCCAGCUAGCAAUUGGGUGUAGCUACUUUUAUGGCUCUCUCAGUCGCUUCCCAGGAAACCAAAGCUUUUGGGCUCCGGGGGAAGUAUGGUUGCAAAGCUGAAACUUAAAGGAAUUGACGGAAGGGCACCACCAGGAGUGGAGCCUGCGGCUUAAUUUGACUCAACACGGGAAAACUUACCAGGUCCGAACAUAAGUGUGUAAGACAGAUUGAUAGCUCUUUCUCGAAUCUAUGGGUGGUGGUGCAUGGCCGUUCUUAGGAAACGCAUUAUCUCUCAUUGUUGUAUAUAUUUGUGUGAGAAGAACGAAGAAAAAUAUAUAUUUUUUUGUCCUUUUUGAAUCAAAUAAUACUGAGGAAUGUCUAGCAUAAAAAAAUAAUUAAAGUUUUUUCAUCCAGAAUUGCCUCUUAUUAAUGUUUCGAAA